rnacentral:rRNA from 1 species
UACCAGCGUUUGACAUGCCUAGUAUGGUUUCCAGAGAUGGAUUCCUUCAGUUCGGCUGGCUAGUGCACAGGUGCUGCAUGGCUGUCGUCAGCUCGUGUCGUGAGAUGUUGGGUUAAGUCCCGCAACGAGCGCAACCCUCGUCUUUAGUUGCCAUCAUUUAGUUGGGCACUCUAAAGAAACCGCCGGUGAUAAGCCGGAGGAAGGUGGGGAUGACGUCAAGUCCUCAUGGCCCUUACACGCUGGGCUACACACGUGCUACAAUGGCGGUGACAGCGGGUCGCUACCUCGCGAGGGGAAGCUAAUCCCGAAAAGCCGUCUCAGUUCGGAUUGUUCUCUGCAACUCGAGAGCAUGAAGGCGGAAUCGCUAGUAAUCGCGGAUCAGCAUGCCGCGGUGAAUACGUUCCCAGGCCUUG